UCUGGGCUCCUUGGAGGAGGAGUGGGAUAUAAAUGUAAUAAUAAUAAUAAUAAUAAUAAUAAUAAUAAUAAUAAUAAUACCUGUCUGACUGUGUAAAUCCAUCAUCAUCAUCAUCAUCAUCAUCAUCAUCAUCAUCAUCAUCAUCAUCAUCCCAGUGGUAACUGGCGUCCUAGGUGCAAUUCCAAAACAACUUGAAGAGCACCUCAACACCAUAAGGGCCACAGAAAUCACCACCAGCCAAUUACAAAAAGCAACUUUUCUGGGAACAGCCUAUAUUCUGCGACAAUAUCAAUAACAACAGCAACAACACUGACAAUAAAAUUCAGCCAUCCCAGGUCCUUGGGAUUCAGCCAGGACAUUGGAACAAAACUGAUCCUUCUCUGCACAGAUAUCUAACUCUGUGUCAUCUCCAUCCAGAGAUGGUGUGAACACUGCUGAGAACUCCAGGGGAAAAAGAAGAAGAAAAGCAACGUGGAGAUGAUUCAUUUGAGUGGAUAAACAGUGGAAUGAGAAAGGAAGGACCCCCUCCCACCUAUCUUUCUUCUGCAGCGCUUUUCAGUUAACAAAAAAAAUGUCCUUGAUUUCUUCCCUGCAUCUCUGCUGGUGCUCAGGAUGCUGUGCCAUGCAAAAUAAGGACCAGGAGAUCCCACUGGCCGUUGUAUCAUGACCCUCAAACAUGAAAGUGUCCACCUCGGCACGGAGGUCUUCAUCAGACAACCCAACUCCAUUUUCAUCCUGAUAAGGUAUAUGAAGGGGGAAAGGGGAGAAGCAAAUAACGUGGUGAGUAUUUUUUUAAAACAAAAUGUAUUUUUUAAAAAAGAGUUGCUUCCCUGUAACUGAUUAUCUUCAAGUGGUCCUUUGCACAUACCCACUACUGGAAAACUGCCUGCACAAACCAACACCCAGAACUUCCAGAGCAUCUUGAGACACAUUAACAUUGCCCGACAUACUAGGCAGAAUUGCUAAAGAAGGAUGCCUGGAAUCUUGCCGACAGCAAGUGUAUGUUGACCUAAAUUCAGCAAGGUAAGAAACUUUAACCACAAAGUUUUCUUUUCACCUUUAAUGGGAUAGAUAGGUGGAUCAUGUGUAUCUACAUAGGGGUAAGCAAGCUGUUUGUUUGUUUGUUUGUUUGUUUAUUAAACUUCUAUACUGCCCAAACUUUCAUCUCUAGGGCGGUUAACAUAAAAACAAUUAAAACACAUAUAAAAGUUAAUCAAUGCAACAAUUAAAAAACAGCCAUAAAAUUAAAAACACAAACAGACAGUUUUUAAAAGCUGAGAAAGCCUGGUUGAAGAGAUGUGUUUUCAAAAGUUUUUUGAAAAUUGCCAGAGAUGGGGAGGAUCAUAUCUCAGCAGGGAGCACAUUCCACAAUCUUGGGGCAGCAGCCGAGAAGGCCCGUCUCUGUGUAGCCACCAAAUGAGUUGGUGGUAGCUGGAGACGGACCUCCUCAGAUGACCUCAAUGAACGGUGUGGCUCAUAGUGAAGAAAAUGCUCUCUUAAAUACCCAGGGCCUAAGCUGUUUAGGGCUUUAUAAGUUAUAACUAGCAUUUUGUGUUUUGCCCAGAAACUAUUGGCAGCCAAUGAAGCUACAUCAGUAAAGGAGGAAUGUGGUCUCUCUGAGAUGACCCAGAGACCAGCCUGGCUGCCUCAUUCUGAACCAACUGGAGCUUCUGGACUACGUACAAAGGCAGCCCCACGUACAGCGCAUUACAAAAGUCAAGUCUGGAGGUUACCAACAAAUGUACCACUGUUUUAAGGUCAUUGAUCUCAAGAAACAGGUGCAGCUGGCGUAUCAGCUGAAGCUGACAGAAAGCACCCCUGGCUUUAUAUGCUUUGUGGUCCAAAGCAUAUAUGUUUAUAUGCUUUGUGGUCCUCUGUGCAUCCACACAGGGGACUGAGGGAUCAGCUAGCUAACUUAUCUGGAGGUAGAUAAAGUCAUAGUAGAAUAUGCUGUAGGACAGUUCUUCCACAUAAUGCAUCUUUCCUUGAUGGGACAUCCAAGGCAUAAUGCUUGAUGAACAGGGAUACUAUGGACCAAGUUGCAGUGCUACAUACAUCAGGGAUUGAAGUGCCUGAAUAUUUGCGGCUGAAGUCCCCCCUGCCCUUGAAAAAUGUGUUCUUAUGCACAAUAGAGAGGACUGCUUAGCAAGUUGUGUUCUACUGAUGUAGUUGACAUGCACCUACUGACAUCCAGUGUAUGGAGGGACCUUUCCAGAUCAGAAACUGGAUUCAGAAAAAUUGUAUGCAGAAUGAUGUCCUUGCACUACUUCAAUAUAAGUGCCCCAGGCUGCAAAUUGUUUUUAAAGAGCCAUAUAUCCCCCCCCCGACUUUUGUGAUUCCCCCCAAAAGCUUUGAGGCUAGCUAUGGGCCUGGAGGUAAGUUAGGCUGAGAGAUAAGUGGCUGGCCCAGAGUCACCCAGUGAGUAAAUGGAGUUGAAUGGGGAUUCAUGGCUGAAUGGGGAUUUGAACUUGGGUCUUCCUGGUCCUAUUCCACCACUCUAACCACUAUGCCAUGCUGGCUCUCUUUUUGCAUUCCUUGCCAUUGCAAGCCAAUCAGAAGCCAGUGACAGAAAACAAUCAGCAAAGGGGAAACAGGCCUCCAGAAUGGCAGUAUAACGCUGAAAGAUUUCAAUCAAAAUGGAGUUGUUUUGUUCUGAGCUUGAAAUAGGCUUGAAAUAGGCCUUUUUGAGCUUGAAACACUGUUUUGAGCUUGAAACACUCGAAACAGCCAAUUUCAAGUUGAAACAUUUCAACAUCAAAACGUUUUGCACAUCCCUAGUUUUUACAUUAUAAUAUCAAGUGUUAUUCAAUACAAUUCUGGCCAAUAUUUUCUGCAUUGUUUUCUGAUUGGUGUUUUUCUUCUAUUUUGUUUCAAAACUUGUAUUUUAAAAACAUCUUAAGAUGUUCCAUAUGUGGAAAAUGCUGAGAGGGAAGAAGAGUUAUCUGACUGAUAAGAAUGGUUUUUCAAUGAGUAAAUGACUAAAAUGAAUGGCUUUAAAAGGGGCUUAGACAAAUUCAUGGAGGACAAGUCUAUCAAUGGCUACUAGUCUGAUGGCUAUAGGCUACCUCCAGCCUCAGAGGCAAGAUGCCUCUAAAUACCAAUUGCAGGGGAGCAACAGCAAGCGAGAGGGUAUGCCUUCACAUCUUGCUUGUGGGCUUCUCAGAGGCAUCUGGUGAGCCACUGUGGGAAACAGGAUGUUGGACUAGAUAGGCCUUGAACCUGAUCCAGCGAGGCUGUUAUUGAGGCAGGUCUCAUGAUCAAAGAGACCCACCUGGGGAGGGUGAGCGGGGAGAGCGGGCUUAGCUUGCUCUCUCCACAGACAACCAGCCAGUCUGCUCUGGGCAGCCGCAGCGGCCACCCACACAACUGUCGGCUCCGUCACAGAGCCAGCCGGGGCU